GGAAUUGUGUGGUUAGAUCUGAUUAGUUAUGGAGAAUUGUAGUGAAUAUGAGUUUGAAUGUUUGAUGUUUGCAGAGGAUAUAUUGAAGGCUUACAAUGUAUAGAAAGCGAGAGGGAAUUUCCCGCCUGAUGCAGAUAAGAAGGUACCGUCGGUGUUUGUUUGCAGGACUUUGGAACUCUAUUUAGUUGAUAGAUUUUCAUUGAAUUUUCAGGUUAAGCUAAUGUGUUCUUAUUGCAAGAAACACAAUGACAAGUUUGUUCAUGAUCCAUAUUAUGGUGGAGCU